GGCGGGCAUAUCCCAAUGAUCUUCGACUCGCUGCCUACGGUCGUGAAUGCCUCCAAGGGGGGGCUCGUGCGUGUCCUUGCCCUGACCGGUCUGAAGCGUUCGCCUUUGCUUCCGGAUGUCCCGACGCUCGAUGAAUCCGGCGUGAAGGGUUUCAAUGUGCAGGCGUGGUUCGGCCUUUAUAUGCCGCAGGCGAAUAACUCGCCGAUCUACAAGAAGCUGGUCGCGGCGAUGAAAGAAGUGAAUGAAUCUCCGGAGACCAGGCAAAAGCUGGCCGAAAUGGGUGUCGAGCCCGGC
rnacentral:misc_RNA from 1 species